rnacentral:rRNA from 1 species
AUUGAACGAUGGCGGCAGGCCUAACACAUGCAAUUCGAACGAGUGGCGGACGGGAGAGGAAUGUCUGGAAAACUGCCUGAUGGAGGGGGACAACUUCUGAAAAAGGGCGCAAAUACCGAACACCCUAGGAUGAGCAAAGAUGGGAGUAGCUAGUAGGGGGGGUAAAGGCGCACCUAGGCGACGAUCCCGAGCUGGUCUGAGAGGAUUACCAGCCAAACUGGAACUGAGACAAGGUCCAGACUCCUACGGGAGGCAGCAGUGGGGAAUAUUGCACAAUGGGCGCAAGCCUGAUGCAGCCAUGCCGCGUGUAUGAAGAAGGCCUUCGGGUUGUAAAGUACUUUCAGCGGGGAGGCGUUACCCGCAGAAGAAGCACCGGCUAACUCCGUGCCAGCAGCCGCGGUAAUAC